GACGUAGGGCGCGAGCGUUUGUCCGGAUUUAUUGGGCGUAAAGAGCUCGUAGGCGGCUUGUCGCGUCGUUCGUGAAAACCUGGGGCUCAACUCCAGGCUUGCGGGCGAUACGGGCAGGCUAGAGUUCGGUAGGGGGAGACUGGAAUUCCUGGUGUAGCGGUGAAAUGCGCAGAUAUCAGGAGGAACACCAAUAGCGAAGGCAGCUCGCUGGGACGGUACUGACGCUAAGGCGCGAAAGCGUGGGGAGCAAACAGGG
rnacentral:rRNA from 1 species